CUUGGUCAUUUAGAGGAAGUAAAAGUCGUAACAAGGUUUCCGCAGGUGAACCUGCGGAAGGAUCAUUAACACGUAUCCACGUAUCAACCCCUCUGUGAAAACGCAAAAGCAGCAAGGUCUGGUCUUAGUGCGUCUGUCUGCUAUGGGUCCUAAUAAUGGGUGACUUUCGGGUCACAGGGCUCGGACGGCGUGUGUUUGACGAUCAACCGACACUUUACCAUUGUUGGCCUUUACCCAAUUUUUAACCCCUUUGUACUCUUUUGUACUGAACCAUUCUUCGAUGCUCUUCUUCCUAAAAAAAAGAGAGUGACGAAUGAUAUUACGAAACUUAAGAACAACUCUUAGCAACGGAUAUCUUGGUUCCCGCAACGAUGAAGAACGCAGCGAAAUGCGAUACGUAAUGCGAAUUGCAGAAUUCAGUGAAUCAUCAAAUCUUUGAACGCAAAUUGCACUCUCGGGUAUCCCCGGGAGUACGCUUCUUUCAGUAUCGGUUCUAUCAAAACUCGCCUGCGUUUUGAACUCUCGGGUUCGGAACACGGAGCGGAAAUUGAGUGUCACACUUUUCGAGAGUGUGUUACUUGAAAGGUAGAAACGGUGUUGUUCCGUCGUUCUCUCGAACGAGCUCGCUUUGGUCUUCCUUCUCUCGCUUGCGAGAGGAGGCUGGAGCAAUCUGAGUGACGUGGUUAAGUUCGCCUCUGUGCGGCACCACCAUCGUCAACUAACUCAGAGUGCGCUGGUGUGGCCUUCCUGAGUAGUGGAGCAAAACUUGAUCCGUUCUUUGGAUUAAAACCCAAUUUACAAAAUCAGAUCUGAAAUGAAGUGAGAGGACCCGCUGAACUUAAGCAUAUCAUUAAGCGGAGGAAAAGAAAAUAACAAUGAUUCCCCUAGUAACGGCGAGUGAAGCGGGAAGAGCUCAAGCUGAAAAUCUGGAAGCCUUGCGGUUUCCCGAAUUGUAGUCUAGAGACGUGCUCUCAGUGUGUGACCUGGGUAUAAGUCUUUUGGAACAAGGCAUCAUAGAGGGUGAGAAUCCCGUCUUUGACCCAGAGUACGCCACGUACGAGACGCGUUCGAAGAGUCGGGUUGGUCGGGACUCCAGCUCUAAAUGGGUGGUAAGAUUCAUCUAAAGCUAAAUAUAGGCGGGAGACCGAUAGCGAACAAGUACCGUGAGGGAAAGAUGAAAAGCACUUUGAAAAGAGAGUGAAACAGUACGUGAAAUUGUUGAAAGGGAAGCGUUUGGCAUCAGCCCGUGGCGUCCGUCGAUCAUCUGUGCCUCUGCACGGUGCACUCGGCGGUCGUCGGGCCAACGUCGUCUCCGUCCGCUGGAGAAAGGCCUUGGGAAUGUGGCUCUCUGGAGCGUUAUAGCCCUCGGCGCAAUGCGGCGGAUGGGGUCGAGGUCUGCGGUUCAACCGAGGACGUUGGCUUAAUGGUUCCAAGCGACCCGUCUUGAAACACGGACC
rnacentral:rRNA from 1 species